rnacentral:rRNA from 1 species
AUCUGUGGCCAUGCCACCUUGAACAUGUCCAUUCCCAUUGAUCUUUGAAGCUAGGUAGAAAGGGCCUGGUUAGUACUUGGAAGACGUCUGAGGUCUGGGUGUUGCCGAGU